CUAUAUGGGAAAAGAUCUUAAGAAGAGUGGCUGUAUGUAUAAUUGAUUCACUUUGCUGAACAGCAGAAACUAACACAACACUGUAAAUCAACUAUACUCCAAUACAAAUUAAAAAAAACAACAACACUAAGAGAAGUUGUUAAGUGAAAAAAUGUUACUAAACUACAUUCAUGUACAGGUAUUCACUGAAUGCUUUACUGGGUGCCAGGCACUUGUGGUGCUGGGGCUACCGCAGCAAACAAGACAGAAGCCCUGCUUCUCAAAGUUCAAAGGCAUAGUAACAGAGUGUCAGGGAAUGAUAAACUAUAAGGAGAAGGAAACUCUGCAGAGCAUGUGGAAAAACUGGAACCCUCACAAAUUGCUAGUGGGAAUAUAAAAUAGGGCGGUUGCUUUGGAAAACAGACAGUGCUUCAAAAAGUUAAACAUGGAGUUUAACUAUAUAACCCAGUAAUAGCACUCCUAGUUACAUACCCACGAGAAGUGAAAACGUAUGUUCAUACAAAACUUGGAUACAAAUGUCCAUAGUAGCAUUAUUCAUAAUAGCCAAAAAAGUGGAACAACCCCAAUUCCCAUCAACUGAUGAAUUACAAAUUACAGUGUGACAGGUGGGGGCUUCUCAGGUGGCACAGUGGUAAAGAACCCACCUGCCAAUGCUGGAGACAAAAUCGGGUUCGAUCCCUGGGUCGGGAUGAUCCCCUGGAGAAAGAAAUGGCUACCCACUCCAGUAGUCUUAUCUGGGAAAUUCCACUGACAAGAAGCCUGGUUGGCUACAUCCAUAGGGUUGCAAAGAGUCGGACACGACUGAGCAUGCACACACGCAUGCACACACAUCCACAGAACAGAAUAUUAUAAACUAUAAAAAAGGGACGUGUGUGUGCUAAGUCCCUUCAGUCAUGUCUGGCUCUGUGCAACCCUAUGGACUGUAGCCUGUCAGGCUCCUCUGUCCAUAGGAUUCUUCAAGCAAGAAUCCUGGUCUGGGUUGCCAUUUCCCCCUCCAGGAGAUCAUCCCAACCCAGGGAGUGAACCCAAGUCUGUCUUCUGCAUUGGCAGGUGAGUUCUUUACCACUGAGCCACCUGGGAAGCCCUUGAAGUACUAUUUAUGAUACAAGAUGAAUGAAUCUUAAAAACACUGUGCUGUGCACAAGCAGCUAGACACAAAAGGUCACAUAUUGUGUGAUUCCAUCCAUUUGAAAUGUCCAUUUACAUGAAAAUGUCCAGAAUAGAUACACCUUUAAAGACACAAAGUAAAUUUAGCGGUUUUUGGGUUGGAGGGUAAGGUGGAAGGGGAGGGAUGAGCAACAGCUGUUAAUGAGCAUGGAGUUCCUUUUUGGGAUGAUGAAAGUAUUUUAGUAUUACUGGCGAUAAAUAUAUAACUGUCAAUAUACUAAAACCACUAACGUGGUAUACUUUAUUUCUGGCCAUGCCACAAAGGGCUUAUGGGAUCUUAGUUCCUGCAAGUUAGUGCAGGGUCUUCAUCACUGGACUACCAGGGAAGUCUCUGAAAUGAUAUACUUUAAUAGGUUGAAUUUUAUUUCAAUUUAAAAAAGCUAAAUAAAAAAGAGUAAAACAGGGUAAAAGGAUAGAGAGGGAAGGGGAGGCUGCUGUUUUGGAUAAGGUAGUCAGGAAUGACCUUAUUUUGAGCAGUGACCUGAACAAUAUAAAGAAGCUAACCAUGUAAAUCUGAGAGGUGGGAGGAGGGAGAGGAGGGACAUUCCAGGAGGAAAGGCAAGUAGGAAGACUCUUAAGGUAGAUGCAUACCUAUUUGUAAGUAACAGCAAAGAGGCGAGUAGUGUGGCUGCAUGCAGUAGCAAGGGGUGAGGCUGCAGGAAGCCAUGGUCCAAACUGUACAGAUGUGUACACCCACAGUAAGGACUGGUCUUCACUCUAAAUGAUAGAAAGCCAUCAGAGCCAGAAGCAACGACCAGAGGUACAUUUAUAAGGUUCACUCUGCUGCUAGGUGGGGAAUAAACUGAGGCAGAAGGGAAGGAAGGAAAUCUAUUAGAGAUGGCUUCUGUUAGUACAGGUGGGUGAAAAAUGGUCAGAUUUGAAGUACAUCUAAUCACCACAAUAUACACUUUAAAUAUCUUAAACUUGUAUUUGUCAAUUAUAUCCCAAUAAAUAUGGGAGAAAAAAGUGGUUGGAUUCAAAAUAUACUCGAAUGUUAGAGCUGAAGGGAUUUCUAAUGAAUCAAAUGUGCCACACAGGAGAGAGGAGCGAAGAACGAGCCUAAGGAGUUUCACCCUGUGCAAAGGUGUAAAUGGAGAGGCCACUCAAUGAGAUGGGGAAGCCUGAGAGAAGAUGACUGCGCAGGGAAAUCAGAAGUCAAUUCAUCUUAAAUUUGAGGUGCCUACUAAUCCAAGUGCAUCUACAAGACUGGAACUCCAUAAAACAGUCAGGCUAGAAAGGCAGACAGGAGAGUCUAGGGGUUGAGCCCUGGAGCACUCUGACAUUUGGAUACUUAGAAGAUUUGGCACAAUUUAUGUCUUCUGAGAGAAGCAGCCUGUUAGAAGAAGACAAGAAUGCUCCAUCUUUGUUAUUCUUACAGAAUCAGAUGAUCUGAUGGAUAAAAGUUUCUUCAAAGCAAGACUUGAUCUCAUCUCUAGAUCUUUAAAGAUUUCUUCCUCUUCCAUUUCUUUGGAGUUAGCUCACAGAGAGUGAACCUAUUGAUCUACUAGGUAUUCUCAGAUUAUUUCUUUACAAAGUAUGCUGCCUUGAGGAUCUCAAG
ensembl:lncRNA